rnacentral:rRNA from 1 species
GAUGAACGCUAGCGGGAGGCUUAACACAUGCAAGUCGAGGGGUAUAGUAGCAAUACUAGAGACCGGCGGACGGGUGCGUAACGCGUAUGCAACUUGCCUUAUACAGGGGGAUAGCCCGUGGAAACGCGGAUUAAUACCCCAUAUGUCAUUUGGGUCGCAUGGUUUGAAUGAUAAAGCUGAGGUGGUAUAAGAUGGGCAUGCGUCUGAUUAGCUAGUUGGUAAGGUAACGGCUUACCAAGGCGACGAUCAGUAGGGGUUCUGAGAGGAUAAUCCCCCACACUGGUACUGAGACACGGACCAGACUCCUACGGGAGGCAGCAGUGAGGAAUAUUGGUCAAUGGGCGAGAGCCUGAACCAGCCAUUCCGCGUGAAGGAAGAAGGCCCUACGGGUUGUAAACUUCUUUUCUGUAAGAAGAAAAGUCACGACGUGUCGUGAUGUGACGGUAUUAUAGGAAUAAGCAUCGGCUAACUCCGUGCCAGCCGCCGCCGUAAUAC